AAGUCAUAUUGUGGGCAUUUUCUGAUCAACUCCUGGAAUCUCGUCCAAGCAUCACAGAGUGUCUCUCCUGGUUGCUGAAUGAAGUUAGUGAUUUCGUUCACCAACUU